GGGGAAUUUUCCGCAAUGGGCGAAAGCCUGACGGAGCAAGACCGCGUGGGGGAAGAAGGCUCUUGGGUUGUCAACCCCUUUUCUCAGGGAAGAAGUUCUGACGGCACCUGAGGAAUAAGCAUCGGCUAACUCCGUGCCAGCAGCCGCGGUAAGACGGAGGAUGCAAGCGUUAUCCGGAAUUAUUGGGCGUAAAGCGUCCGUAGGUGGCUUUUCAAGUCGGCGGUCAAAGACCGGGGCUUAACUCCGGAAAGGCCGUGGAAACUGAAAGGCUAGAGAAAGGUAGGGGUAGGGGGAAUUCCCGGUGUAGCGGUGAAAUGCGUAGAGAUCGGGAAGAACACCGGUGGCGAAAGCGCCCUACUGGACCUUAUCUGACACUGAGGGACGAAAGCUAGGGGAGCGAAAGGGAUUAGAUACCCCAGUAGUC
rnacentral:rRNA from 1 species